rnacentral:rRNA from 1 species
CCUACGGGAGGCUGCAGUCGAGAAUCAUUCACAAUGGGGGAAACCCUGAUGGUGCGACACCGCGUGGGGGAAUGAAGGUCUUCGGAUUGUAAACCCCUGUCAUGUGGGAGCAAAUUAAAAAGAUAGUACCACAAGAGGAAGAGACGGUUAACUCUGUGCCAGCAGCCGCGGUAAUACAGAGGUCUCAAGCGUUGUUCGGAAUCACUGGGCGUAAAGCGUGCGUAGGCGGUUUCGUAAGUCGUGUGUGAAAGGGGCGGGCUCAACCCGCGGACGGCAGAUGAUACUGGGAGACUAGAGUAAUGGAGGGGUAACCGGAAGUCUCGGUGUAGCAGUGAAAUGCGUAGAUAUCGAGAGGAACACUCGUGGCGAAGGCGGGUUCCUGGACAUUAACUGACGCUGAGGCACGAAGGCCAGGGGAGCGAAAGGGAUUAGAUACCCGGGUAGUC